UUACUGCUGAAGAGUCCCAAACUAAGACGAAACAGCCGUCCAGUAC
rnacentral:hammerhead_ribozyme from 1 species